rfam:Onchocerca ochengi, WGS project CAWC01000000 data, contig: 00203_385
GCACGGAUGGCCGAGUGGUCUAAGGCGCCAGACUCAAGCUGUAAUGUGCUUCACAUGAGGACAAUGUGUGAUAUGGGCGUUCUGGUAUCGUGAUCGAUGCGUGGGUUCGAAUCCCACUCCGUGCA